rnacentral:rRNA from 1 species
AGAGUUUGAUCCUGGCUCAGAGUGAACGCUGGCGGCAGGCCUAAUACAUGCAAGUCGAACGGCAGCACAGCAGAGCUUGCUCUGUGGGUGGCGAGUGGCGGACGGGUGAGGAAUACAUGGGAAUCUGCCCAGUCGUGGGGAUAACGUAGGGAAACUUACGCUAAUACCGCAUGCGCCCUUCGGGGGAAAGCCGGGGACCUUCGGGCCUGGCGCGAUUGGAUGAGCCCAUGUCGGAUUAGCUAGUUGGCGGGGUAAUGGCCUACCAAGGCGACGAUCCGUAGCUGGUCUGAGAGGAUGAUCAGCCACACUGGAACUGAGACACGGUCCAGACUCCUACGGGAGGCAGCAGUAGGGAAUAUUGGACAAUGGACGCAAGCCUGAUCCAGCCAUGCCGCGUGAGUGAAGAAGGCCCUCGGGUUGUAAAGCUCUUUUGUCCGGAAAGAAAAGCGCCGGGUUAAUACCCUAGUGUCCUGACGGUACCGGAAGAAUAAGCACCGGCUAACUUCGUG